AGCGAACGCUGGCGGCAGGCUUAACACAUGCAAGUCGAGCGGGCGUAGCAAUACGUCAGCGGCAGACGGGUGAGUAACGCGUGGGAACGUACCUUUUGGUUCGGAACAACACAGGGAAACUUGUGCUAAUACCGGAUAAGCCCUUACGGGGAAAGAUUUAUCGCCGAAAGAUCGGCCCGCGUCUGAUUAGCUUGUUGGUGAGGUAACGGCUCACCAAGGCGACGAUCAGUAGCUGGUCUGAGAGGAUGAUCAGCCACAUUGGGACUGAGACACGGCCCAAACUCCUACGGGAGGCAGCAGUGGGGAAUAUUGGACAACGGGGGAAACCCUGAUCCAGCCAUGCCGCGUGAGUGAUGAAGGCCCUAGGGUUGUAAAGCUCUUUUGUGCGGGAAGAUAAUGACGGUACCGCAAGAAUAAGCCCCGGCUAACUUCGUGCCAGCAGCCGCGGUAAU
rnacentral:rRNA from 1 species